CCUACGGGUGGCAGCAGUGAGGAAUAUUGGUCAAUGGCCGUAAGGCUGAACCAGCCAAGCCGCGUGAAGGAAGAAGGUUCUCUGGUUUGUAAACUUCUUUUAUAGGGGAAUAAAGGUAUCCACGUGUGGAUAUUUGCCUGUACCUUAUGAAUAAGCAUCGGCUAACUCCGUGCCAGCAGCCGCGGUAAUACGGAGGAUGCUAGCGUUAUCCGGAUUUAUUGGGUUUAAAGGGUGCUUAGGUUGUUUGUUAAGUCAGCGGUAAAAGUUGUGGCUCAACCAUAUAAUUGCCGUUGAAACUGGGAGACUUGAGUGUGUGUGAGGUAGGCGGAAUGCGUGGUGUAGCGGUGAAAUGCAUAGAUAUCACGCAGAACUCCGAUUGCGAAGGCAGCUUACUAAGCCAUAACUGACGCUGAAGCACGAAAGCGUGGGGAUCAAACAGGAUUAGAUACCCUAGUAGUC
rnacentral:rRNA from 1 species